rnacentral:lncRNA from 1 species
GUGGUUGUGAUAGAGGAGGUAGGGUGUGGUUGUGAUAGAGGAGGUAGGGUGUGGUUGUGAUAGAGGAGGUAGUGUGUUGUUGUGAUAGAGGAGAUAGUGUGUGGUUGUGAUAGAGGAGGUAGGGUGUGGUUGUGAUAGAGGAGGUAGUGGUGUGUGUUCCUGUGGUUCUGCUGAUGGGUCUGGUCAGGCAUAAGAUCACAUUGGUUCCUCUGUCCGAACCACAAAGCGGAUUCUAGAGAUAGCAGACAUCAGUCAAUGUGUCACAAGUGGCACCAUAUUCCCUAUGUGGAGCACAUUGUUUGAACAGAGUCCUAUGGCCCUGCGAUAGACUGGCGCCUUGUCCUGGUUUGUUCCUGUACAUCGAGCUGCCUAACGCUAGAGACAGCAGAUAGACUCCUGCUUCUAUGAGCUGUUCCGCUUGUACAGGCCAAG